UACAGAGGUCCCAAGCGUUGUUCGGAUUCACUGGGCGUAAAGGGUGCGCAGGUGGGUUUGCAAGUUCGAUGUGAAAGCCCCGGGCUUAACCCGGGAAUGGCAUUGGAUACUGCAGAUCUGGAGGAUCGGAGGGGGGACUGGAAUUCUUGGUGUAGCAGUGAAAUGCGUAGAUAUCAAGAGGAACACCAGUGGCGAAGGCGAGUCCCUGGACGAUUCCUGACACUGAGGCACGAAAGCUAGGGGAGCAAACAGG
rnacentral:rRNA from 1 species